CAGCUUCACUCUGGUGCUGAUUCCAGC
rnacentral:piRNA from 1 species